rnacentral:rRNA from 1 species
GGGUUGUGAGGUUAAGCGACUAAGCGUACACGGUGGAUGCCCUGGCAGUCAGAGGCGAUGAAGGACGUGCUAAUCUGCGAUAAGCGUCGGUAAGGUGAUAUGAACCGUUAUAACCGGCGAUUUCCGAAUGGGGAAACCCAGUGUGAUUCGUCACACUAUCAUUAACUGAAUCCAUAGGUUAAUGAGGCGAACCGGGGGAACUGAAACAUCUAAGUACCCCGAGGAAAAGAAAUCAACCGAGAUUCCCCCAGUAGCGGCGAGCGAACGGGGAGCAGCCCAGAGCCUGAAUCAGUGUGUGUGUUAGUGGAAGCGUCUGGAAAGGCGCGCGAUACAGGGUGACAGCCCCGUACACAAAAAUGCACAUGCUGUGAGCUCGAUGAGUAGGGCGGGACACGUGGUAUCCUGUCUGAAUAUGGGGGGACCAUCCUCCAAGGCUAAAUACUCCUGACUGACCGAUAGUGAACCAGUACCGUGAGGGAAAGGCGAAAAGAACCCCGGCGAGGGGAGUGAAAAAGAACCUGAAACCGUGUACGUACAAGCAGUGGGAGCACGCUUAGGCGUGUGACUGCGUACCUUUUGUAUAAUGGGUCAGCGACUUAUAUUCUGUAGCAAGGUUAACCGAAUAGGGGAGCCGAAGGGAAACCGAGUCUUAACUGGGCGUUAAGUUGCAGGGUAUAGACCCGAAACCCGGUGAUCUAGCCAUGGGCAGGUUGAAGGUUGGGUAACACUAACUGGAGGACCGAACCGACUAAUGUUGAAAAAUUAGCGGAUGACUUGUGGCUGGGGGUGAAAGGCCAAUCAAACCGGGAGAUAGCUGGUUCUCCCCGAAAGCUAUUUAGGUAGCGCCUCGUGAAUUCAUCUCCGGGGGUAGAGCACUGUUUCGGCAAGGGGGUCAUCCCGACUUACCAACCCGAUGCAAACUGCGAAUACCGGAGAAUGUUAUCACGGGAGACACACGGCGGGUGCUAACGUCCGUCGUGAAGAGGGAAACAACCCAGACCGCCAGCUAAGGUCCCAAAGUCAUGGUUAAGUGGGAAACGAUGUGGGAAGGCCCAGACAGCCAGGAUGUUGGCUUAGAAGCAGCCAUCAUUUAAAGAAAGCGUAAUAGCUCACUGGUCGAGUCGGCCUGCGCGGAAGAUGUAACGGGGCUAAACCAUGCACCGAAGCUGCGGCAGCGACGCUUAUGCGUUGUUGGGUAGGGGAGCGUUCUGUAAGCCUGCGAAGGUGUGCUGUGAGGCAUGCUGGAGGUAUCAGAAGUGCGAAUGCUGACAUAAGUAACGAUAAAGCGGGUGAAAAGCCCGCUCGCCGGAAGACCAAGGGUUCCUGUCCAACGUUAAUCGGGGCAGGGUGAGUCGACCCCUAAGGCGAGGCCGAAAGGCGUAGUCGAUGGGAAACAGGUUAAUAUUCCUGUACUUGGUGUUACUGCGAAGGGGGGACGGAGAAGGCUAUGUUGGCCGGGCGACGGUUGUCCCGGUUUAAGCGUGUAGGCUGGUUUUCCAGGCAAAUCCGGAAAAUCAAGGCUGAGGCGUGAUGACGAGGCACUACGGUGCUGAAGCAACAAAUGCCCUGCUUCCAGGAAAAGCCUCUAAGCAUCAGGUAACAUCAAAUCGUACCCCAAACCGACACAGGUGGUCAGGUAGAGAAUACCAAGGCGCUUGAGAGAACUCGGGUGAAGGAACUAGGCAAAAUGGUGCCGUAACUUCGGGAGAAGGCACGCUGAUAUGUAGGUGAAGUCCCUCGCGGAUGGAGCUGAAAUCAGUCGAAGAUACCAGCUGGCUGCAACUGUUUAUUAAAAACACAGCACUGUGCAAACACGAAAGUGGACGUAUACGGUGUGACGCCUGCCCGGUGCCGGAAGGUUAAUUGAUGGGGUCAGCGCAAGCGAAGCUCUUGAUCGAAGCCCCGGUAAACGGCGGCCGUAACUAUAACGGUCCUAAGGUAGCGAAAUUCCUUGUCGGGUAAGUUCCGACCUGCACGAAUGGCGUAAUGAUGGCCAGGCUGUCUCCACCCGAGACUCAGUGAAAUUGAACUCGCUGUGAAGAUGCAGUGUACCCGCGGCAAGACGGAAAGACCCCGUGAACCUUUACUAUAGCUUGACACUGAACAUUGAGCCUUGAUGUGUAGGAUAGGUGGGAGGCUUUGAAGUGUGGACGCCAGUCUGCAUGGAGCCGACCUUGAAAUACCACCCUUUAAUGUUUGAUGUUCUAACGUGGACCCGUAAUCCGGGUUGCGGACAGUGUCUGGUGGGUAGUUUGACUGGGGCGGUCUCCUCCUAAAGAGUAACGGAGGAGCACGAAGGUUGGCUAAUCCUGGUCGGACAUCAGGAGGUUAGUGCAAUGGCAUAAGCCAGCUUGACUGCGAGCGUGACGGCGCGAGCAGGUGCGAAAGCAGGUCAUAGUGAUCCGGUGGUUCUGAAUGGAAGGGCCAUCGCUCAACGGAUAAAAGGUACUCCGGGGAUAACAGGCUGAUACCGCCCAAGAGUUCAUAUCGACGGCGGUGUUUGGCACCUCGAUGUCGGCUCAUCACAUCCUGGGGCUGAAGUAGGUCCCAAGGGUAUGGCUGUUCGCCAUUUAAAGUGGUACGCGAGCUGGGUUUAGAACGUCGUGAGACAGUUCGGUCCCUAUCUGCCGUGGGCGCUGGAGAACUGAGGGGGGCUGCUCCUAGUACGAGAGGACCGGAGUGGACGCAUCACUGGUGUUCGGGUUGUCAUGCCAAUGGCACUGCCCGGUAGCUAAAUGCGGAAGAGAUAAGUGCUGAAAGCAUCUAAGCACGAAACUUGCCCCGAGAUGAGUUCUCCCUGACUCCUUGAGAGUCCUGAAGGAACGUUGAAGACGACGACGUUGAUAGGCCGGGUGUGUAAGCGCAGCGAUGCGUUGAGCUAACCGGUACUAAUGAACCGUGAGGCUUAACCUUACAACGCCGAAG